rnacentral:rRNA from 1 species
CCAUCCCGAACACGACCGUUAAGCCCUCCAGCGCCGAUGGUACUUGGACCGCAGGGUCCUGGGAGAGUAGGACGUCGCCAAGC